CUUCACCGACCCCAGCCAGAGCGGCCGCUCACGACCCUGCCCAUACGUCGCCAGCAACGCCUGCGCCUC
rnacentral:antisense_RNA from 1 species